rnacentral:rRNA from 1 species
GACGAACGCUGGCGGCGUGCUUAACACAUGCAAGUCGAGCGGUAAGGCCCUUUCGGGGGUACACGAGCGGCGAACGGGUGAGUAACACGUGGGUGACCUGCCCUCAGCUCUGGGAUAAGCCUGGGAAACUGGGUCUAAUACUGGAUAUGACUCCACGGUGCAUGUCGUGGGGUGGAAAGCCUUGUGCGGCUGAGGAUGGGCCCGCGGCCUAUCAGCUUGUUGGUGGGGUGANGGCCUACCAAGGCGACGACGGGUAGCCGGCCUGAGAGGGCGACCGGCCACACUGGGACUGAGACACGGCCCAGACUCCUACGGGAGGCAGCAGUGGGGAAUCUUGCGCAAUGGGCGAAAGCCUGACGCAGCGACGCCGCGUGAGGG